rnacentral:rRNA from 1 species
UGGGGGAUAUUGCACAAUGGGCGAAAGCCUGAUGCAGCGACGCCGCGUGGGGGAUGAAGGCCUUCGGGUUGUAAACUUCUUUUUCUCUGAACAAGGCAUGCUAAUGGGUGUGUUGAGUGUAGGGGUUGAUUAGCGCCGGCUAACUACGUGCCAGCAGCCGCGGUAAUACGUAGGUCGCGAGCGUUGUCCGGAAUUAUUGGGCGUAAAGGGCUUGUAGGUGGCUGGUUGCGUCUGUCGUGAAAGCUCAUGGCUUAACUGUGGGUUUGCGGUGGGUACGGGCUGGAUUGAGUGCAGUAGGGGAGGCUGGAAGUCCUGGUGUAGCGGUGGAAUGCGCAGAUAUCAGGAGGAAUACCGGUGGCGAAGGCGGGUCUCUGGGCUGUUACUGACACUGAGGAGCGAAAGCAUGGGGAGCGAACAGG